rnacentral:rRNA from 1 species
AUUGAACGCUGGCGGCAUGCUUUACACAUGCAAGUCGAACGGCAGCGCGGGCUUCGGCCUGGCGGCGAGUGGCGAACGGGUGAGUAAUGCAUCGGAACGUGCCCAGUAGUGGGGGAUAGCCCGGCGAAAGCCGGAUUAAUACCGCAUACGACCUGAGGGUGAAAGCGGGGGACCGAAAGGCCUCGCGCUAUUGGAGCGGCCGAUGUCGGAUUAGCCAGUUGGUGGGGUAAAGGCUUACCAAGGGGACGAUCCGUAGCUGGUCUGAGAGGACGACCAGCCACACUGGGACUGAGACACGGCCCAGACUCCUACGGGAGGCAGCAGUGGGGAAUUUUGGACAAUGGGGGCAACCCUGAUCCAGCCAUGCCGCGUGCGGGAAGAAGGCCUUCGGGUUGUAAACCGCUUUUGUUCGGGAAGAAAUCCUCUGGGCUAAUACCCCGGGGGGAUGACGGUACCGGAAGAAUAAGCACCGGCUAACUACGUG